ACUCCUACGGGAGGCAGCAGUGGGGAAUAUUGCACAAUGGGCGCAAGCCUGAUGCAGCCAUACCGCGUGAGUGAAGAAGGUUUCGGCUCGUAAAGCUCUGUUGUUAAAGAAGAACACGUAUGAGAGUAACUGUUCAUACGUUGACGGUAUUUAACCAGAAAGUCACGGCUAACUACGUGCCAGCAGCCGCGGUAAUACGUAGGUGGCAAGCGUUAUCCGGAUUUAUUGGGCGUAAAGAGAGUGCAGGCGGUUUUCUAAGUCUGAUGUGAAAGCCUUCGGCUUAACCGGAGAAGUGCAUCGGAAACUGGAUAACUUGAGUGCAGAAGAGGGUAGUGGAACUCCAUGUGUAGCGGUGGAAUGCGUAGAUAUAUGGAAGAACACCAGUGGCGAAGGCGGCUACCUGGUCUGCAACUGACGCUGAGACUCGAAAGCAUGGGUAGCGAACAGGAUUAGAUACCCUGGUAGGAUAGCG
rnacentral:rRNA from 1 species